GGGCAUUGUUUGGGGCCCUGAUGGGUUUGGGUACUCGGAAUUUGCCCUCUAUCACCACUGAUUUAGCCUGUCGGGGUUGCAGUAGGGUCCCUAUCAGACGCCUCACAAAGUGUGGCAGUUCCGCGUCCGGUAUCUCCUCCUUCACCCCACGCACCUUAAUGUUGUUUUGGCGCCGGGAAUCCUCCUGGGCAGCAAAUCUGCGUUCGUACAGCUGGUUUUGGUGUUGUAAUUCCUGCACAGUUUGCUGGAGCGACACUAAUUGUUGGGAGUGCUCCUUGGUGGUGAGUUCGAGUUUCCCGAUGCGGCCUGUGAGGCCUCUCAGGUCCCCGCGGAUUGUGGCUAUAUCCGCUGAGAUAUUUCUCUGGAGCUCGGCCAGCAUCUCUUUUAGGUCGGAUUUAG